rnacentral:lncRNA from 1 species
GGCACUCCUUUUAUCUUUUAGUAUGUAAAACAACGAUUCUCAAAAGACAGUACACUUUCCAAAAGAUAAAAAAGUGGAAGUAAUAAAUAUUUAUGCGCGUUGCCAUAUUUUAGGUUGUACCAAUGUGACUAUAAGCAUUUUUGUGAUGAAUUGAGCAUAACUACGAUCUUAUGCAGACACACUAUACAUGUAAGUAUUAUGUAUGCUAUAGUCAUAUUUGGCAUGACAUUUCAAUGCUCUACAAUUUUAAAGUACUUGGAUGGUUGUAUGAUGUAUAUGGAUCUCUGCCUUGAGCUUUAUAGUUUCUUUGGCGCAUCCCAUAUGGGUGAUAUGAGAAAUUGAAGGACAUUAGCACUACUAAUAGAGAAUGACACAUCCACCAUUCCCCUUACAUUUUAUUUCUGUUUUUUCUUAUUCAUUAAUUGUUAGGACGGAGGAAAUGGUUUUCCUGAAGAAAUGUGUUGAUUAUGUUCUUGCGAAAGUUGAAUGAUACUGACUGCAUAAAUUAUAUUCCUUGAACUAUAAUGAGCGUAUUUAUCAAUUGGGUAAGUAACAAGUACAAGGCGAUGAAUUGUGUGGCUUUUGUAAGUCGGUCCAGGUGAAUUCUGGAGUUAACAAGUCUGCUUAGAUAUCUGUAUAUUGGUCACUCUCCUAGCGAUUCUUUUCCAUGGACUCCUUUUUUGUGUCUUGAUCUGUU